GAGAAACCCAAAAGAUCGAAUGGGGAGAUUCAUCGUCAGCGGCUUUGGCUUCCGUGCGGUACGCGAUGGCGGGGAUCUCGGUCUCGCGCCACGCUGCCGCUGCGGCAUGUCCGGAGUCGUCGGCGUGCACUUCUCCCCUAGUAGGACGUCGCGACCCGUUGGGUGUCGGACCGAUGGCCGGUCGGUCGUCUGUGGCGUUAACGCGCCGCAGACCGAUUCGGUCGAAAGUCCGGCUGCCCGGCGGUAUUGAACGAUAUGAACUGGUAUCGGGCCGCAUCGAAUGCGUUCAGGCUCGUCGGCAGGCUCGUCUCGCUCGGAUUUACGGACCUAGCGCCGUUGCCGGGCGCUUGGCGCGGCUGUUAGUCGACGAUGUCCUCGGACUGGCUCUUACCCGUCGGCGACGCUACUGCUUUGGGUACUUUC
rnacentral:rRNA from 1 species